GUAAUGGCUUACCAAGGCUUGGACGGGUAGCUGGUCUGAGAGGACGAUCAGCCACACUGGGACUGAGACACGGCCCAGACUCCUACGGGAGGCAGCAGUAAGGAAUAUUGCGCAAUGGGCGAAAGCCUGACGCAGCAACGCCGCGUGCGGGAUGAAGGCCCUCGGGUUGUAAACCGCUUUCAGUAGGGAAGAAAAUGACGGUACCUGCAGAAGAAGCCCCGGCCAACUACGUGCCAGCAGCCGCGGUAACACGUAGGGGGCGAGCGUUGUCCGGAUUUAUUGGGCGUAAAGAGCUCGUAGGCGGUUUCGUAAGUCGGAUGUGAAAACUCCAGGCUCAACUUGGAGACGCCAUUCGAUACUGCGAUGACUUGAGUCCGGUAGGGGAGUGUGGAAUUCCUGGUGUAGCGGUGAAAUGCGCAGAUAUCAGGAGGAACACCGGCGGCGAAGGCGGCACUCUGGGCCGGUACUGACGCUGAGGAGCGAAAGCGUGGGUAGCAAACAGGAUUAGAUACCCUGGUAGUCCACGCCGUAAACGGUGGGCACUAGGUGUGGG
rnacentral:rRNA from 1 species